GGUGGCUUGGGACCUCAGCUAAAGUCUCAACAUGAUGAUACAUUCUUUUCCCCAGAAUGCUUUCUCAUUUGUCAGUGGCUGCAAGGCGUCUUAUUAAUCUAGAGCAGAGAUGUUGGUAGAAACAUCAAAGCUGGAAGACUUUUAGAGUGACACAUUGAAAGGUAAAAGAGAAGGUUUUAUUUGCCAGGCCUGCUUAGAGGAGCAGAAGUUUGCCUCUGCCAGCAUGCCCUUGAACCACCCCAGGCAUACCCUCUUUGGAGCCCUAGUGAUGUCAAAACUCUGGAGUCUGUUAGGCAAGGGAUAUGUAAGUUGCUGCAAUGGCAGGAACAAGGGGUCCAACAUUGGAUGUCCUUCUCUGAUGUCAGAGAAGAACCUCUGAUCCACCCUAUCAGCCCCCCCCAAGUGUCCCCAGUCCCUAUCCUCUAGGGACAGUCACAGAUUUACAGAAGCCAUCUUGGUUUCUGAUUUGAUCCUGGGAUAUCCCCAUUUUUAUUUAUUUUUAUUUUAUUUUAUUUUUAAAUUGCAUUUAUAUACCGCCCUAUACCUGGAGGUCUCAGGGCAGUUCACAGAAAAGAUUACAAUAUAUAAAGUCAAAAUAAGAACAACGACCCAAUAACACACACCCCCCUCAGAAAAGAGCCACAUUUUAAAAGGGUAUAGGAUGUCGGAUGUCAAUCCGGUCAACCAAAGGCCUGGUUAAAAAGGAACUUUUUCGCCUGGUGCCUAAAGGUGUAUAAUGAAGGCUCCAGGCCAAUUUCUCUGGGAAAGAAGUUCCUUAAGAACUUUUCCUCAAGACGACCCUAUUUUCAUCAGAAAAAUGUUGGAGGGUAGGUCAUAUGGUCCCUGAGACACCUUCUAAGGGGCCACUAGACUGUAGCAUCUCCUUUUACAGUUAGAAAUUCUUGCAGGUUGCCAGUAAUGACCAAGUUUUACCAAAUAACACAACACAGGGAAAGAAUGCCUUUUCUCCCAGGCUGAAGACAUUGCUGUUUCAUAAACUGAAAUCAGCUAAGCUACGGAGAAUUUAGAAUAUUUCCUUUAUAUGAAGAACACAAUGUAUUUUCCUCAUGAAAACUCACUUAAUUAACAUGCUUAUGAAUAUGUUAGAUGAAACAGGACUGCAUUUAUGCAGACAUCACUGAGAAUCACGCAUCUUUUACAAGGCCUGUCAUGACUCUGUUUUCGCACUCGGCUCACAUGCUUCAGCGCGUCUUUAAAUUAUCUAGGGCACGUCACAUGACACCUAAGUGUGAAACAAGCAUUUUCUCCUCCCAGUACCAUUAUUUUCAUUUUCAAAACACUAAUUUGCAACAAAUGGCAGGAGCGGAAAAGAUGUGCAGCAUCAUGAGGUUUUGGCUCAGGCAUUUUAAUUUGGAAAGUGAGUUGAGAAUAAUGUUCGAUGAGCUCUCAUCAUCCAAAGCGCUAGUAAAAGCUGUACAAUGAGGAAUUUUAAAAAAACCUAAAAAUUAAAAAGAAAGAUGGCAUGGGUAUAAUUUGCACAGAGAGACGUUUGUUUGCAUGUAGUCCUCCUAACUAAAGCUAUCAUUAACCUAUACAUUUAUUAAGUGCCACUGCCUAAGGAUGCCAUUCAGUAUUUGUAAGCAAAUGUGGGGGUAAUAUGUACACAAGAUCUAUGAAAAUAAUAGCUCAUAGCCAGAGAUGAAAGGACACCAUGACAGUCAUGGAAAAUUGAAACAAGGUCUAAACCUCUUCAGGGCAUGUUAUUGAUAUUUUGUAAGGGUUACAUAAAGGGAAGCAUGAAAGAGAAGUGUGGGAAAAGAGAAUCCUAAAUUGAUAUGGAACAAUAAACCCUUUGGAAGGCAAUAGAAGCUGCAGUUUGGAUACGGCACAGACAAUAUGAUCUAUAGUAAUUCAGUAAUUAGAUACAUGAAAGCAAGAGAGGCCCAUAUAAUUACAUUUUGGAGGCAGUGAGGAAAACAAUUGUUUGUCAGGGCUGAUAGAGAUUUUCAUUGUCUCUCAAUUACAUAACUGUUUCUCAUUUUUAUUUCUGCAGCCUUGUAGCUCCUGAGUUAUGAAGCCAAAGGAGCAGCUCUUGUCUACAGGGCUCAAAAUUAAAGGACUCUGGUGAAUAAACACUUCGGAAAGCAAGGAGAGAGAAAGAGCAGGAGAGAUAAUUUCCAGACUUUACUUGCAACAUCAAUGCCAG
rnacentral:lncRNA from 1 species